rnacentral:rRNA from 1 species
GUGCCAGCCGCCGCGGUAAUACGUAGGGGGCUAGCGUUGUCCGGAAUCAUUGGGCGUAAAGCGCGUGUAGGCGGUCCGGUAAGUCCGCUGUGAAAGUCGGGGGCUCAACCCUCGGAUGCCGGUGGAUACUGUCGGGCUUGAGUACGGAAGAGGCGAGUGGAAUUCCUGGUGUAGCGGUGAAAUGCGCAGAUAUCAGGAGGAACACCAAUUGCGAAGGCAGCUCGCUGGGACGUUACUGACGCUGAGACGCGAAAGCGUGGGGAGCAAACAGGAGGAGAAACCAUUGGAGUAC